rnacentral:rRNA from 1 species
UACGAAGGGGGCUAGCGUUGUUCGGAAUUACUGGGCGUAAAGCGCGCGCAGGCGGUCUUCCAAGUCAGUGGUGAAAGCCCGGAGCUCAACUCCGGAACUGCCAUUGAAACUGUUGGACUUGAGUACGAGAGAGGUGAGUGGAAUUCCCAGUGUAGAGGUGAAAUUCGUUAGAUAUUGGGAAGAACACCGGUGGCGAAGGCGGCUCACUGGCUCGUAACUGACGCUCAGGCGCGACAGCGUGGGGAUCAAACAGG